AACUUUAUUCAUGGCGUUUAAAGGCAUUUAAAGUCACAUUGCGAUUUCGUGAUCCUCGUAUCGUGGUUAGGACUCUAUUUUGAGAAUAUGAAGUUGGCGUGUUAUGUUUUGCUCACUUUCGUGCUGAUGCUAAGUUGUCAAGUGGUUUACGUUGAGUGUGCGGUGCCAAAAGGACUCGGAAGGCCUCGAAAUUAUAACCAAACCACUAGUCGGCCAAUUGUGACUAAACCCACUAAGAAAAGUGGUAAAAACCCAACAAAUAGUGGAAAUCCUGAUAAUCUUAUUAGCCCAGGUCGUUGUGUAGAUGGCUAUCUUUCUAUUAAUGGCGAAUGUUAUGCCGAGGAAUAACACUUACAAAACAAACACUACCUAUAUUUAAUAAUUUUUGAGAUUUGACCCCAAAUUGGUAAAGCCGCCAUUUUGACAUUUGUUUAAACUUCGUCUGCGACGCAAAACCAAUCAUAAAUGAUAACCGAUAACCUAUGACUUAUAUCCGCGUAUUGCUAGCGUAUUAAUGCAAAUUUAAUGCUGUGAAAGAAACAAUCGCGAAGUAUGAAUCUUUCAAGUUGUCUUCUGCUCGUCACAGUUGUGUCCAUAUGCAUGUGGACGGAGGCAAAAUUCCGGUUCCAAUGGGCGUGCCAAAAAAUUAUAAAUUUCGCACGAUUGGCACGACCACAACUGCAAAACCCAUCAGCACAACGAAAAAAGAUGACGAUCGACAAAUCGUCAGGGUCAUAUGUAUUGAUGGUUAUGUCGAAGUAAAUGGUGUCUGUGAAUCGACAGAUAAAUGAAAUCACUAUUUAUAUAUUAUAAGUGUUUUUUCCGGUAAUAAAUUCUAAGUACACACCUGUGUUCUAUAUUUUUUUCAUGUUUUGAGUCUUAAAUAGACCGAAUAAUAACGUUAUCAUUUAGUUUUCUAUGAGUAUCUAACGAAAUAACAUCAAAUAGCUAAACAUGUUGAAAUUAAUAUUUAUUUGCUUUUUAUUAUUCUUUGUUUUAUUUUCUCAAGCUCAGUUAGUGAAUAGAACAGUAAACUUUGAACAUUUGCGACUUAUCAACGUACUUUGUGCACCAGGAUAUAAAUUGAUUGCUGGAAGGUGUCGUCGCAUACAUUAAAUUUUUCUUUUUGACGAUGCAGACAAAUCCAUUAGGUUACUAAACAUUACCAGUUUUAGAAUUUUAUAUUUAGGAAUAAUCAUGGUACGCAAAAGUAGUUGUUUUGUUCUUUUGUUAAUAACUUUAACGUUAUUGCAUCAAGCUAAUGCGCAGCCAAUUGAUUUAACUGCUGAACAUCUUCCAGGAGGUACUUACGUUUUUAAUGAUGAUGACCAAAAUAAUAUUGUGCUAUAUCUUGGAAACUCUCAAAAUAAUACCAUAAAGCAAUCAUCUGGAGAUACUUAAAAUACAUAUAAUGAUUUAUAACUUUUACUUAAGCUUUAAUACUUCAUUAGUAAUUUUUUAAUAACAGAAUGUAACAAAGACUUCAAUAAUAUGUUUAUUUUGGAAGAGAA